UGAGGAAUAUUGGUCAAUGGGCGAGAGCCUGAACCAGCCAAGUAGCGUGCAGGAUGACGGCCCUAUGGGUUGUAAACUGCUUUUAUAUGGGAAUAAAGUGAGGGACGUGUCCCUUAUUGCAUGUACCAUAUGAAUAAGGACCGGCUAAUUCCCUGCCAGCAGCCGCGGUAAUACGGAAGGUCCAGGCGUUAUCCGGAUUUAUUGGGUUUAAAGGGAGCGUAGGCUGUUUGUUAAGCGUGUUGUGAAAUGUAAGAGCUCAACUUUUAGAUUGCAGCGCGAACUGGCAGACUUGAGUGCGCACAACGUAGGCGGAAUUCAUGGUGUAGCGGUGAAAUGCUUAGAUAUCAUGACGAACUCCGAUUGCGAAGGCAGCUUACGGGAGCGCAACUGACGCUAAAGCUCGAAGGUGCGGGUAUCGAACAGG
rnacentral:rRNA from 1 species